UUUUCAGGACACUAAUCAUAUAGUUCCAUCCCGUGGGAGUCAGUCGUUGGGCCAGAGGUUCUCUGAUUAAUUCCACUGUUGGAGUCCGCGGUGAUCCUCUUUUGAAAACCCUUUAACGUCUAAAGCGUACUGAGUGAAGCGCAAGUUCACUGAGUCAUGUGAUGCUUUGCACCUCUGGCAUGCAAUUCCUGCACACACCAUGGCCCCUCCUACAGGAACUGGAUGACCCAAAAGGCCAGAAAAAGAAGCGUUGAUCCGCACUGACCACUAGAAAUCUAUUCCAGACAAAGGCAGAUUUUUGUAGACACAGAAUCACAGAUACAAAAAUAAAUAAAUGCCCAAAUAAAUAAAAGAUUUCCUGCUAAAUCUUUAUUUCCUAGAAAUAUUUCACAAAAACAUCCAUUUGACUCUGAAAUAUUUAAUACUGCACUGCUUUGUGUAAACCCGUCCACGUGCCAGCAAGCAAAGUAGGGGCUUGGCAAGCCUCCGUACAGUAUUCAGCAUCUCAGGAAUGACUCAUUCUCCAAACUUACAUUAAGACAUUUUUCUUUAUCCAAUUAACUUUCAGCGUUUGCGAGAGAGCAUUAUCCAAAGCGCAAGGUGGGGCAGAGGAGCGCGGUUUAAGCGCCCCGUCUCAGCUCCUGCUGAGUGUCUGCUGGAGAUCCUCUAGUGCUGCUCGCCUUACAACCUGCACAGUCCUCGGAGAAAGAGUGUAGGGUUCCUGUGCUAAAUGGGUGGUGUGGGGUUUUGGGUGGUUGUUGUUGUUUUGGGUUUUUGUCUCCUCCCCCCAUGUCUUGCACAGGCCGCUCGGAGAGGACACGGGUUUUGGGUUUCGGCUUCGGCUUAAGAGGAAGUUGUUGGAUGCAGCAAAAGUAGCAGGAGUCGGGACCGAAGAGGCAAAUGAGAUAGCAGCAGCCUCAGCACCGGCAGCAUGCAGACUUCCACAGUGGGGUGCACGUCUACGAAUAUCUAGCUUGGAGAACCAACUUGGAAGACUUGCGCAUUAUCAGCUGAGACGUGCAUCACUCAGGACUGGAGACGAAGCCGUCCGCUUUGUUGAUCGAGGUGAAGGAAUAGAACAGGAAAAAUGUCUGACACGUGCCAGCUUACAACACCCUCCUGAUAUUCACAGAUUACACUUGAGGUAAGACAUCCAGAUAUUCACAAGUUCCAACACGCAGAGAAGAUGGAGGUUACCGUGGGAACAGAACAGUCCGGCCGCCUGUCGCACCUAAUAUACAAACACAUGAAAUAAAGACCCAAAAUAUCAGAAUGACAAAGGGCUGUCUGCACAUAUAGCAACUGAAUGUGCGAUGGUGGCGAACAUCACCGUCAAUGCAGUGUGGUGCAGGCCACUGUACAUUUAAAUCAACGGCCCGAGCCGGACCGACGUGAUGCCGAGAGAUCUUUACGCGGAGUGGUGCCUGAUGGAGAGCUGAUGAGAUGACUGCACGCCGGAAUGCAUCCUGCCGUUGCUGCACCCAUAACCGGCACUAAGGUCUGUAAGGAAAGGACAGUCUGAUUUGCACUGGGAUUAUUGUGUUCUCAUUUUUCAGUCAUGCUGUAAACUGCAGAACUCCAGAGCACAGAAUAAAACGAGCAGAUGAGUGAGAGUGUGAGAGCUCUUUUCACGACAGACAACUUGCCCCCGAAACUGCCUGCUACAGUGGAAUUUUAGCCUACAUCAAACCAGAACUUUCUGCAUGUAUGAUGAGUAAAGACACGUGAACAAACAAGAAAAAGAAACUGAUCCUUAGUGCAUAGCACCAGUAACAACUGCACUGCAAAAAUCUUAUUACAGAUGAACAUUACAUAUUUUUAUGCAGCCAAUAAAAAGAACAAUAAACAAAAACUGAUUUUUUUUUUCUUCUUCACAGUGCAUGACUUUACACUUAUAAUUAAUCCUAAUCAAGUCUGGCACCAGUAUGGCAAGUGUGAUCAGGUAACUACUAAUAGUUAGCGUCUGGCUUCUAUCUUACAAUAUUUGAUGCUACAUGUGAAUUACAAUUACUGCUGUGAAAAUAAAACCUUGAGACUUUGACCUGUCAUGUCUGCAAUAUAAUAAAUUGUGUGGUACGGU
ensembl:lncRNA